UGUGCUCUCACUUUCUGCUACCAGUUAAGAGACACACAGCAGAAUUUUGGACCAACUGUAAGCGAGAAAGUGCAUUUUGGCUGAUGCAGAUAAAAAGUGCAUUACAGUAGUUUAAACGAGAGGAGACAAAAGCGUUGAAAAGAUGGG